rnacentral:rRNA from 1 species
AACACAUGCAAGUCGAGGGGAAACGAUAUUGGAAGCUUGCUUCCGAUAGGCGUCGACCGGCGCACGGGUGAGUAACGCGUAUCCAACCUGCCCACCACUUGGGGAUAACCUUGCGAAAGUAAGACUAAUACCCAAUGAUAUCUCUAGAAGACAUCUGAAAGAGAUUAAAGAUUUAUCGGUGAUGGAUGGGGAUGCGUCUGAUUAGCUUGUUGGCGGGGUAACGGCCCACCAAGGCAACGAUCAGUAGGGGUUCUGAGAGGAAGGUCCCCCACAUUGGAACUGAGACACGGUCCAAACUCCUACGGGAGGCAGCAGUGAGGAAUAUUGGUCAAUGGACGAGAGUCUGAACCAGCCAAGUAGCGUGCAGGAAGACGGCCCUAUGGGUUGUAAACUGCUUUUAUAAGGGAAUAAAGUUAGUCUCGUGAGACUUUUUGCAUGUACCUUAUGAAUAAGGACCGGCUAAUUCCGUGCCAGCAGCCGCGGUAAUACGGAAGGUCCGGGCGUUAUCCGGAUUUAUUGGGUUUAAAGGGAGCGUAGGCCGGAGAUUAAGCGUGUUGUGAAAUGUAGAUGCUCAACAUCUGCACUGCAGCGCGAACUGGUUUCCUUGAGUACGCACAAAGUGGGCGGAAUUCGUGGUGUAGCGGUGAAAUGCUUAGAUAU